AUGGCACACUUGAUGCAAGAAAUAUUUGGAUACACAGAUGAGUUGAGUAGAGCUUUGCAAAAGCAAGACCAAGAUAUUGUUCAUGCUAUUGAGCUUGUUGAUAUCACAAAGUAUCACUUGGAGGGUUUGAGGACAGAUCCUGGAUGGGAUGAUUUUCUCAAAAAGGUCACAUCUUUUUGUACAAAGCAUAAGAUCAAAAUUGUUGAUAUGGAGGGUCCUUACUUUCCCGCUGGCCGGCCUAGAAGGGGUUUCUUUAAUGGUGCAAUGAAUUACCAUCGCUUCAAAGUUGAUAUGUAUGUGAGUGUCAUUGAUAGGCAAAUUAGUGAGUUGAAUGGCAGAUUUGAUGAGGUAAACACAUAUCUACUUUCUUGCAUGACAACAUUUUGUCCACUUUGUCUAUUUGCUGCUUAUGAUCAAGAGAAAUUGGUUAGGCUUGCUACAAAUUUUUAUGCUAAUGAUUUCACAAGUGAUGAACUGGCAAGACUUCCAUAG
rnacentral:rRNA from 1 species